GAUGAACGCUGGCGGCGUGCCUAAUACAUGCAAGUCGAACGAAAAGGCGCGGAGCUUGCUGGGCUGACGAGAGCGGCACAGGGGAGUAUAACGCGUGUAUACCCUCCCUAUAUUUCGGGGAUAAUUUCGGAAAACGGGAGCAAAUACGGUAUGAGAUACUGCUGCGCAGGGGGGGAUGGUGAAAGUCGGCGGUUGGGGAUGGUAUAGCGGGUUAUGAGCCUCAUGGGGGGGUAGUGGAUGAACAAGUUUUUGAAGGGUAGGCGGCCUGAGAGGGUUAACGGCGUCAUUGGGACUGAGAGACGGCCCAGACUCCUACGGGAGGCAGCAGUGGAGAAUAUUGCACAGUGGGCGGAAGCCUGAUGCAGCAACGCCGCGUGCGGGAUGACGGCCUUCGGGUUGUAAACCGCUUUCUCCUGUGACGAAGCGUGAUUGACGGUAAUGGGUAAAGAAGCACCGGCUAACUACGUG
rnacentral:rRNA from 1 species